rnacentral:rRNA from 1 species
AUUGAACGCUGGCGGCAUGCCUUACACAUGCAAGUCGAACGGUAACAGGUCUUCGGAUGCUGACGAGUGGCGAACGGGUGAGUAAUACAUCGGAACGUGCCUAGUAGUGGGGGAUAACUACUCGAAGGAGUGGCUAAUACCGCAUGAGAUCUACGGAUGAAAGCAGGGGAUCGCAAGACCUUGUGCCACUAGAGCGGCCGAUGGCAGAUUAGGUAGUUGGUGGGAUAAAAGCUUACCAAGCCGACGAUCUGUAGCUGGUCUGAGAGGACGAUCAGCCACACUGGGACUGAGACACGGCCCAGACUCCUACGGGAGGCAGCAGUGGGGAAUUUUGGACAAUGGGCGCAAGCCUGAUCCAGCAAUGCCGCGUGCAGGAUGAAGGCCUUCGGGUUGUAAACUGCUUUUGUACGGAACGAAAAGCCCCGGGUUAAUACCCUGGGGCCAUGACGGUACCGUAAGAAUAAGCACCGGCUAACUACGUGCCAGCAGCCGCCGUAA